rnacentral:rRNA from 1 species
GGUAUGGGAUGAGCUUGCGUCCGAUUAGCUAGUUGGCGGGGCAACGGCCCGCCAAGGCGACGAUCGGUAGCCGGCCUGAGAGGGUGAUCGGCCACAUUGGGACUGAGAUACGGCCCAGACUCCUACGGGAGGCAGCAGUAGGGAAUAUUGCACAAUGGGGGAAACCCUGAUGCAGCAACGCCACGUGUGGGAAGAAGCAUUUCGGUGUGUAAACCACUGUCACGAGGGAAUAAGGCCCGCCUACGGACGGGAUUGAAUGUACCUUGAGAGGAAGCACCGGCAAACUUCGUGCCAGCAGCCGCGGUAAUACGAGGGGUGCAAGCGUUGUUCGGAAUUACUGGGCGUAAAGGGAGCGUAGGCGGAGAUUCAAGCGGAUUGUACAAUCCCGGGGCCCAACCCCGGCUCUGCAGUCCGAACUGGAUCUCUUGGAUAGUUCAGGGGCAGGC